UGGGGAAUAUUGCACAAUGGGCGAAAGCCUGAUGCAGCCAUGCCGCGUGUGUGAAGAAGGCCUUAGGGUUGUAAAGCACUUUCAGCGAGGAGGAAAGGGGGUAAGUUAAUACCUUAUCUCUGUGACGUUACUCGUAGAAGAAGCACCGGCUAACUCCGUGCCAGCAGCCGCGGUAAUACGGAGGGUGCGAGCGUUAAUCGGAAUUACUGGGCGUAAAGCGUGCGUAGGCGGCUACUUAAGUUGGAUGUGAAAGCCCUGGGCUCAACCUGGGAACUGCAUCCAAAACUGGGUGGCUAGAGUGCGAGAGAGGAGUGUGGAAUUUCCUGUGUAGCGGUGAAAUGCGUAGAUAUAGGAAGGAACACCAGUGGCGAAGGCGACACUCUGGCUUGACACUGACGCUGAGGUACGAAAGCGUGGGGAGCAAACAGGAUUAGAUACCCUGGUAGUCCACGCCGUAAACGAUGUCUACUAGUUGUCGGUUGUCUUGUACGACUGGUAACGCAGCUAACGCGAUAAGUAGACCGCCUGGGGAGUACGGCCGCAAGGUUA
rnacentral:rRNA from 1 species